rnacentral:rRNA from 1 species
AAUAUUCCUGUCUGACCGAUAGCGAACGAGUACCGUGAGGGAAAGGUGAAAAGUACCCCGGGAGGGGAGUGAAACAGUCUCUGAAACCGUGCGCCUACAAUCCGUCGGAGCCCUUUUGUGGGGUGACGGCGUGCCUAUCGAAAAAUGAGUCUGCGAGUCAGUGGCAUGUGGCGAGCAUAACCCGUGUGGGGUAUGCGUAGCGAAGGCGAGUCUUAAAAGGCGUUUGAGUCGCGUGUCCUGGACCCGAAGCGGGAUGAUCUAGCCCUGAGCAGGUUGAAGCGCGGGUAAGACCGCGUGGAGGACCGAACCCACCUGGGUUGAAAACCGGGGGGAUGACUUGGGGCUAGGGGUGAAAGGCCAAUCAAAUUCCGUGAUAGCUGGUUCUCUCCGAAAUGCAUUUGGGUGCAGCGUCGGGUCAUUACGUCCCGGGGGUAGAGCUACUGGAUGCUUGCGGGCCCGUAUCGGGUACCAACAGCAACCAAACUCCGAAUACCGGUGACGCGUAUCCCGGCAGUGAGUCGGCGGGGGAUAAGCUUCGUCGUCGAAAGGGAAACAGCCCAGACCGUCGUCUAAGGUCCCGAAGCGUGUGCUAAGUGGGAAAGGAUGUGGAGUCGCAUAGACAGCCAGGAGGUUGGCUCAGAAGCAGCCACCCUUGAAAGAGUGCGUAACAGCUCACUGGUCUAGUGGUUCCGCGCCGACAAUGUAGCGGGGCUCAAGCACACCACCGAAGACGCGGCAGUAUUUUGUACUGGGUAGGAGAGCGUCCCAUGAGGGGCGAAGCGGCCGUGUGAACGCGCCGUGGACUUCAUGGGAGUGAGAAUGCAGACAUGAGUAGCGAGAGACGGGUGAAGAUCCCGUCCGCUGGAUGACCAAGGGUUCCAGGGCCACGUUCAUCGUCCCUGGGUGAGUCGGGUCCUAAGGCGAGGCCGACAGGCGUAGUCGAAUGGAUGAACGGGUCGAUAUUCCCGUACCGGCUUUCAGCCGCCAAAACCGAGGCUUGGAGUACUAACCUCCGGGUCCGGGCUUACUGCUCCUUCGGGGGCGGGAUGCCCUGGCCUGUUGGGACCGAUCCUUGUAGUAGGUCAGCGCAGGAGUGACGCAGAAGGGUAGCCGGCCGCGGAGGUGGUCUUCCGUGGUCAAGCACGCAGGGCGUGGGACAGGCAAAUCCGUCCCGCAUGGGCCCGAGGUGCGAUGAUGGGGGCCUUAUGGCCCGAUAUCCGGUGAUCCCGGCUGCCGAGAAAAGCUUCGGCGUCAGGCUCGAAGCCGCCCGUACCCCAAACCGACACUGGUGGUCAGGUAGAGAAUACCAAAGCGAUCGAGCGAAUCCUGGUCAAGGAACUCGGCAAAUCACUCCCGUUCCUUCGGUUUAAGGGAGACCCCCGAUGGUGAACACACUUGCUGUGGGAGCUUUUGGGGGUGGCACAGACCAGGGGGUAGCGACUGUUUACCAAAAACACAGGUGCAUGCGAAGGCGCAAGCCGCUGUAUAUGCACUGACGCCUGCCCGGUGCCGGAAGGUUAAGAGGAUCCGUCAGCCUUCGGGUGAAGCGGUGAAUUCAAGCCCCGGUAAACGGCGGUGGUAACUAUAACCAUCCUAAGGUAGCGAAAUUCCUUGUCGGGUAAGUUCCGACCUGCACGAAUGGCGUAACGACUUCCCC